GCCUGGCUGACUCAGUCCGUAGAGCAUAUGACUCUUGAUCUUGGGAUUGUGAGUUCGAGCCUCAUGUUGGGUG
rnacentral:tRNA from 1 species